rnacentral:rRNA from 1 species
GACGAACCGUGCGAACGUUGUUCGGAAUCACUGGGCUUGAAGGGCGCGUAGGCGGAUGCCAAGGUCAGGGGUGAAAUCCUCCGGCUCAACCGGAGAAGUGCCCCUGAAACCGGGCGUCUCGAGGGGUGCAGGGGCAUGCGGAACUCAGGGUGGAGCGGUGAAAUGCGUAGAUAUCCUGAGGAACACCGGUGGCGAAGGCGGCGUGCUGGACACCUACUGACGCUGAGGCGCGAAAGCCAGGGGAGCGAACGGG